UAACUAAUGGCACGAGCCAUUCUCCUACAGCCUUGAAUGGCGCCCCCUCACCACCCAAUGGCUUCAGCAAUGGGCCUUCCUCUUCUUCCUCCUCCUCUCUGGCUAAUCAACAGCUGCCCCCAGCCUGUGGUGCCAGGCAACUCAGCAAGCUGAAAAGGUUCCUUACUACCCUGCAGCAGUUUGGCAAUGACAUUUCACCCGAGAUAGGAGAAAGAGUUCGCACCCUCGUUCUGGGACUAGUGAACUCCACUUUGACAAUUGAAGAAUUUCAUUCCAAACUGCAAGAAGCUACUAACUUCCCACUGAGACCUUUUGUCAUCCCAUUUUUGAAGGGAAAAGCUUCACUCUGACCAUCACUGUCUUCACAAACCCACCGCAAGUCGCCACCUACCACAGAGCCAUCAAAAUCACAGUGGAUGGGCCCCGAGAACCUCGAAAUCGUACUGAGAAGCACUCCACAAUGCCAGACUCACCUGUGGAUGUGAAGACGCAAUCUAGGCUGACUCCUCCAACAAUGCCACCUCCCCCAACUACUCAAGGAGCUCCAAGAACCAGUUCAUUUACACCGACAACGU
rnacentral:sRNA from 1 species